GUCUCUGGGCUUUACUGACGCUGAGGAGCGAAAGCAUGGGGAGCGAACAGGAUUAGAUACCCUGGUAGUCCAUGCCGUAAACGUUGGGCACUAGGUGUGGGGGACAUUCCACGUUUUCCGCGCCGUAGCUAACGCAUUAAGUGCCCCGCCGGGGGAGUACGGCCGCAAGGCUAAAACUCAAAGGAAUUGACGGGGGCCCGCACAAGCGGCGGAGCAUGCGGAUUAAUUCGAUGCAACGCGAAAAACCUUACCAAGGCUUGACAUGUGCCAGACCGCUCCAGAGAUGGGGUUUCCCUUCGGGGCUGGUUCACAGGUGGUGCAUGGUUGUCGUCAGCUCGUGUCGUGAGAUGUUGGGUUAAGUCCCGCAACGAGCGCAACCCUCGUUCCAUGUUGCCAGCACGUAGUGGUGGGGACUCAUGGGAGACUGCCGGGGUCAACUCGGAGGAAGGUGGGGAUGACGUCAAAUCAUCAUGCCCCUUAUGUCUUGGGCUUCACGCAUGCUACAAUGGCCGGUACAAUGGGUUGCGAUACUGUGAGGUGGAGCUAAUCCCUAAAAGCCGGUCUCAGUUCAGAUUGGGGUCUGCAACUCGACCCCAUGAAGUCAGAGUCGCUAGUAAUCGCAGAUCAGCAACGCUGCGGUGAAUACGUUCCCGGGUCUUGUACACACCGCCCGUCAAGUCACGAAAGUUGGUAACACCCGAAGCCGAUGGCCUAACCACCUUGUGUGGCGGGGAGUCGUCGGAGGGUGGGACUGGCGAUAGGUACUAACUUCGUACACAGGUAA
rnacentral:rRNA from 1 species